rnacentral:rRNA from 1 species
UACGUAGGGUGCGAGCGUUAAUCGGAAUUACUGGGCGUAAAGUGUGCGCAGGCGGCCGCGCAAGUCGAGUGUGAAAGCCCCGAGCUUAACUUGGGAAUUGCGCUCGAAACUACGUGGCUGGAGUGUGGCAGAGGAAGGUGGAAUUCCACGUGUAGCGGUGAAGUGCGUAGAGAUGUGGAGGAACACCGAUGGCGAAGGCAGCCUUCUGGGCCAACACUGACGCUCAUGCACGAAAGCGUGGGGAGCAAACAGG